UACGUAGGGUGCGAGCGUUGUCCGGAAUUAUUGGGCGUAAAGAGCUCGUAGGCGGUCUGUUGCGUCUGCUGUGAAAACUCGGGGCUUAACCCCGAGCCUGCAGUGGAUACGGGCAGACUAGAGGUAGGUAGGGGAGAAUGGAAUUCCCGGUGUAGCGGUGAAAUGCGCAGAUAUCGGGAGGAACACCGGUGGCGAAGGCGGUUCUCUGGGCCUUACCUGACGCUGAGGAGCGAAAGCGUGGGGAGCGAACAGG
rnacentral:rRNA from 1 species